rnacentral:ncRNA from 1 species
GAAGUGAAUAGGGGAAAAGGUCUUUCUUAUAUAAGAGAGCGAAGAGGGAAGACCGGUGCGAAUCCGGCGCGGUCCCGCCACUGUGAAGGGAGAGGAAAACUGCAAGCGUAUGCUGGCCACUGUCGCUUCGUCGAUGGGAAGGCGCAGUUGGACGAUGAACCCUAAGCCAGGAGACCUGCCUUUUCCAGACGUCCACU